CACGUAGGGGGCGAGCGUUUGUCCGGAUUUAUUGGGCGUAAAGAGCUCGUAGGCGGCUCAGUAAGUCAGGUGUGAAAACUCCAGGCUCAACCUGGAGACGCCACCUGAUACUGCUGUGGCUAGAGUCCGGUAGGGGAGCAUGGAAUUCCUGGUGUAGCGGUGAAAUGCGCAGAUAUCAGGAGGAACACCAGUGGCGGAAGGCGGUGCUCUGGGCCGGAACUGACGCUGGAGGAAGCGAAAGCGUGGGGAGCAAACAGG
rnacentral:rRNA from 1 species